rnacentral:tRNA from 1 species
GAGGGUAUAGCUCAGGGGUGGAGCGCGUGCUUAGCGUGCGCAAGGUCCUGGGUUCAAUCCCCAGUGCCUCCA